ensembl:snoRNA
CCUGCCCUGGAAGUAUUGCAGGUGUGGCUGCUGUGUCACAUGUAUGUCAGUAGGUAGUUGAGAAGAGAGAAACUAUGUUUGUACUCAGUGUUCUGACCUGUGAACAUCUGAAAGAUUAAUAGCCUAGCAUU